rnacentral:lncRNA from 1 species
CCACUGACCAUACAGAUGAUCAUCUGUUGCUGUGGGAAGCCGGCUUCAAGCAUCAUUUUGCCUUCAAAGAGGACAGCCUAUGAGUCCCUCUCUCUAUUUUUGUUCCAGAUCAAACAGCACUUUCAGAAGCAGUCUGGGCCUUGUUUCUGUACUCGGAUAGAGGAAGUUCUUUUAAGGGUCCUCAUAAGCACCAGAAUCAUUUCCCUAAAGUGAUGUCAUUGGAAAAGUAUGAGGAAGGAUUAGGGAGAAGGUGGCCUUCUCAGUCAGGGCCAGUGCUGGUGUGAGAGGUUCAAGGACAAAGGUAAAGUGUUCCUCACCUCCAAGAUGAACUUUCCUCCCAUGGUGGGAGUCGAAUAUUUCAGG